rnacentral:rRNA from 1 species
UACGUAGGGGGCAAGCGUUGUCCGGAUUUAUUGGGCGUAAAGAGCGUGUAGGCGGCCAGGUAGGUCCGUUGUGAAAACUCGAGGCUCAACCUCGAGACGUCGGCGGAAACCCUCUGGCUAGAGUCCGGAAGAGGAGAGUGGAAUUCCUGGUGUAGCGGUGAAAUGCGCAGAUAUCAGGAGGAACACCAAUUGCGAAGGCAGCUCGCUGGGACGUUACUGACGCUGAGACGCGAAAGCGUGGGGAGCAAACAGG